UACGGAGGGGGGCGAGCGUUUAUUCGGAAUUAUUGGGGCGUAAAGGGCGCGUAGGCGGCUGUACAAGUCAAAGGUGAAAUCCCUCGGCUCAACUGAGGAACUGCCUUUGAAACUGUACGGCUUGAGGCCGGGAGGGGGUAGCGGAAUUCCCAGUGUAGCGGUGAAAUGCGUAGAUACUGGGAGGAACACCAGUGGCGAAGGCGACUUUCUGGCCUGUUCUUGACGCUGAGGCGCGAAAGCUAGGGGAGCAAACGGGG
rnacentral:rRNA from 1 species